GUUGUUAUACUUAUAAAGUAAUCAUAUAGUGGUUUUUUUUCGUUAGAUGCAAAUUAAGGAUACAAAAAAUGGCUGCAACUUUAAAAAAUGCUUUCAUCAUCUUGCUAUCUCUAAUUCUGGUUGUAACUGGCCAACACAGUUUUCGCCCUUGCAUGACUUAUGAAGAUUGUUUAGAUGAUGAAUGUCUAAAUCGUAGAACUCAGUUUUGUUUUGACAAAACAUGUUACUGCUUGUAAGUGUAACAAUUACGUUAAAAACCCACUAUAUUACGCCAUUUUUUUAUUAGAACACUUUACAAAAAUCACGGGUAUUAAGAUAAGUUGUUGGAGGAAGUACUUCAUCCAUUCCAAAUUAUAUGUCAUUCAAGUAAAAUUUGUUUAUUUCCACAAAACUUGUUUGUGAAGUGAAAAUUAUUUUAUGAUCAAUUAUGAUUCAAGAUGUUAAUGAGUUAUUAUAUUUUCAUCAA